rnacentral:rRNA from 1 species
GCCCAGACUCCUACGGGAGGCAGCAGUAGGGAAUAUUGCUCAAUGGGGGAAACCCUGAUGCAGCAACGCCGCGUGGGUGAAGGAGCGUUUCGGCGCGUAAAGCCCUUUCAGCGGGGAAGAAGAAAGACGGUACCCGACCAAGAAGCCCCGGCUAACUACGUGCCAGCAGCCGCGGUAAUACGUAGGGGGCGAGCGUUAUCCGGAAUUACUGGGUGUAAAGGGAGCGUGGACGGGUAAGUAAGUCUGGAGUGAAAGGCCGGGGCCCAACCCCGGGACUGCUCUGGAAACUAUUUAACUUGAGUGCAGGAGAGGUAAGCGGAAUUCCUAGUGUAGCGGUGAAAUGCGUAGAUAUUAGGAGGAACACCAGUGGCGAGGGCGGCUUACUGGACUGUAACUGACGUUGAGGCUCGAAAGCGUGGGGAGCAAACAGGAUUAGAUACCCUCGUAAG